ACUUUAUAUGAUCGAGUAAGUGAUUGUUCGAACUCGAAGUAGGAUAGCCCUUAUGCUUUAAUAAUUGAGCAAGUGAUUGUUCCGAACUCAAACUAAAAUAUCUUAGCUCGUAGGCUUUUUAUGAUCGAGUGAUUGAAUGUUCGAACUCGAAUAAGAUUGCCCUUAGGCUUUAAUAAUUGAGUGAGUGAUUGUUCCGAAAUCGAACUCAAAAUAUCUUAGCCCGUAAGCCUUUUAUGAUUGAGUGAGUGAUUGCUCAAACUCGAAGUAAGAUAGCCCUUAGGCUUUAAAAAUUGAGUGAGUGAUUGUUUCGAACUCGAACUCAAAAUAUCUUAGCACGUUGGCUUUUUAUGAUCGAGUGAGUGAUUGCUCGAACUCGAAGUAAGAUAGCCCUUAGUCUGAACUAAUUGAGUGAGUGAUUGUUUCAAACUCAAACUCAAAAUAUCUUAGCUCGUAGGCUUUUUUUGAUCGAGUGAGCGAUUGCUAGAACUCGAAGUAAGAUAGCCCUUAGGCUUUAAUAAUUGAGUGAGUGAUUGUUUUCGAACCUGAACUCAAAAUAUCUUAGCCCGUAAGCUUUUUAUGAUCGAGUGAGUGAUUACUCGAAAUCAAAGUAAGAUAGCCCUUAGUCUUAAAUAAUUGAGUGAGUGAUUGUUUCGAACUCGAACUCAAAAUAUCUUAGCCCGUAGGCUUUUUAUGAUCGAGUGAUUGAUUGUUCGAACUCGAAGUAGGAUAGCCCUUAGGCUUUAAUAAUUGAGUGCGUGAUUGUUCCGAACUCAAACUCAAAAUAUCUUAGCCCGUAGGCUUUUUAUGAUCGAGUGAUUGAUUGUUCGAACUCGAAUAAGAUUGCCCUUAGGCUUUAAUAAUUGAGUGAGUGAUUGUUCCGAAAUCGAACUCAAAAUAUCUUAGCCCGUAGGCUUUUUAUGAUCGAGUGAGUGAUUGCUCGAAAUCGAAGUAAGAUAGCCCUUAGGCUUUAAUAAUUGAGUGAGCGAUUGUUUCGAACUCGAACUCAAAAUAUCUUAGUCCGUAGGCAUUUUAUGAUCAAGUGAAUGAUUGCUCGAACUCAAAGUAAGAUAGCCCUUAGGCUUUAAUAAUUGAGUGAGUGAUUGUUUCGAACUCGAACUCAAGAUAUAUUAGCCCGUAGGCUUUUUAUGAUCGAGUGAGUGAUUGCUCGAACUCGAAGUAAGAUAGCCCUUAGGCUUUAAUAAUUGAGUGAGUGAUUAUUUUGAAAUCGAACUCAAAAUAUCUUAGCCCGUAGGCUUUUUAUGAUCAAGUGAGUGAUUGCUCGAACUCGAGGUAGGAUAGCCCUUAGGCUUAAAUAAUUGAGUGAGUGAUUUUUCAGAACUCGAACUCAAGAUAUAUUAGCCCGUAGGCUUUUUAUGAUCGAGUGAGUGAUUGCUCGAACUCGAAGUAAGAUAACCCUUAGGCUUUAAUAAUUGAGUGAGUGAUUAUUUCGAACUCGAAUUCAAAAUAUCUUAGCCCGUAGGCUUUUUAUGAUCGAGUGAGUGAUUGCUCGAACUCGAGGUAGGAUAGCCCUUAGGCUUAAAUAAUUGAGCGAGUGAUUUUUCAGAACUCGAACUCAAGAUAUAUUAGCCCGUAGGCUUUUUAUGAUCGAGUGAGUGAUUGCUCGAACUCGAAGUAAGAUAGCCCUUAGGCUUUAAUAAUUGAGUGAGUGAUUAUUUUGAACUCGAACUCAAAAUAUCUUAGCCCGUAGGCUUUUUAUGAUCGAGUGAGUGAUUGCUCGAACUCGAGGUAGGAUAGCCCUUAGGCUUAAAUAAUUGAGUGAGUGAUUUUUCCGAACUCAAACUCAAGAUAUAUUAGCCCGUAGGCUUUUUAUGAUCGAGUGAGUGAUUGCUCGAACUCGAUGUAGGAUAGCCCUUAGGCUUUAAUAAUUGAGUGAGUGAUUAUUUCGAACUCGAAUUCAAAAUAUCUUAGCCCGUAGGCUUUUUAUGAUCGAGUGAGUGAUUGCUCGAACUCGAAGUAGGAUAGCCCUUAGGCUUUAAUAAUUGAGCGAGUGAUUGUUCCGAACUCAAACUCAAAAUAUCUCAGCCCGUAGGCUUUUAUGAUCGAGUGAGUGAUUGCUCGAACUUGAGGUAGGAUAGACCUUAGGCUUUAAUAAUUUAGUGAGUGAUUGUUUCAAACUCGAACUCAAAAUAUCUUAGCCUGUAGGCUUUUUAUGAUCGAGUGAGUGAUUGCUCGUACUCGAAGUAAGCU
rnacentral:lncRNA from 1 species